AGGCAAGAUGAAGUAGGGACACCCACCUCCUUCCCACAAUUCUUUACACAUCACUGAGAGGAACUGAAAGAGUUUAAUAUAGCUCAUUAAUUCUUAGACUAUUUCUGUGAGGGAAGAAAGCAAACAUCAUUAUCUAUAUUUUAAUAUGAGGAAACUGAAGACUCAAGUGGAGAGUCGGGAAAUAGAGCAAAUUCAGAUUCUAAGCCAAAUGUGAAAGACAAGAUCUUUUAGUCAAGCCGUAUCUGGAAUGUUCGCUGGAUGUGGAUCACUUCUCUGAAGUACGCUGAUCUUUGGUCACAGUUGUUCCCCACCUAGAAGAAAGGAUGCUGUGUACCUGCUAUAUAAUGGUAUGCUGAAAUAUUUACCCAAGUUUCCACAAUUCUUCCAGAGAAAUGGAGUAUUUACUACUAUGUAUUUAAAUCAAA